rnacentral:misc_RNA from 1 species
CCGGGAUUUUCUUUGUUAAGUACUUCAACCACCACUUCAAUAUCUUCUGCACCGGGAUUUUCGCUUGCUGCUGCAUCAACUAGUUCUGCAGUCUCCUCACCAGCAUUUUCGUUUUCGACCUCGAGCUCAGCAGCAUCAGGUCCAGCAAUUUCAUUAUCAACGCCAACGCCGAGUGCAGCAUCACCUGCACCUUCAUUCUCUUUUUCCAUGCCUGCUGCGGCUUCGUCAUCCCCAUCACCUUUUUCAGCUUCGUCAUCCCCAUCACCUUUUUCA